UGGUGUACCCUCAGAAUCCUGGGAAGCUACAAAUAUCAUGGUCCCUCCCCGGACGGGGCCUUAUCUCUAGAUACUGAGGAAAGCGAAGAAUGGAGGCGAGCUCCACCCUUUUCUUCUCGCCUGUAAAACCCCUUCUCCCUUUCAACCUCUGCAGCUCUUCUUCUUCCUCCUCCUCCUCUUCUCCGAGACAUCUCCUCGUCUUAAACUUCCAGCCAAGACCUCUAAAAACCCCGAUGUUUCCUCCGUCUUCUCGAGGUGCUCUUUCCCUUUCGCCACCCUUUGCCGUUGCUGAAGCCUUGGAACAAGUAGCAGAUACUUCGGAUUCUCCGAGAGGGGCGUCGCACAAAAUCGACAAGAGCGGGAGGUUUUGUAGCCCGAGAGCUGCGCGGGAGCUUGCUCUGUUGAUUGCUUAUGCCGCCUGCUUGGAAGGGACUGAUCCGGUUCGGCUCCUAGACAAGAGAGUUAAUGCAAAAAGAGAGCCUGGCUAUGUUUUCGACAAGGCUGCUCUAUUGCAGUAUGAUCACAUGAGCUUUGGUGGGGCACCGGUGGAGGCAGGGACAGAAGAAGAGGCAGAGGAGCUCAUGGUCAAGAAUGAAAGGGACUCAGCUAUUGAAGCAGAAGUUCUUUCAGCUCCUCCAAAACUGGUGUACAACAGAUUUGUUCUACGUUUGACCAGGGAAAUCUUGGGAGCUGUUGUUGAUCAGUGGAACCAGCAUGUUCUUGUCAUUGACAAGAUAAUUCCUCAAAAUUGGAAGAGUCUCAUCAGACACUUGGUGCAAAUUCAAUGGCAUCUCACCAACAAGGAUUUUGCACUGCCGAGCCAAGUGUCCAACCACAUAAAUUGGAAUGUCUUCUCAAAGAGAAAGUAACUUUGUUUAUAUCUUCAGUCAUCGAUUUAUGGUAAGUCCAACUUUGGCUCUCUAUAUAGAGGGCUUCCAGGAAAGAAGACUAAAAGCCCUUGAUUCUAAACAAAGCCAAACUCUUUGGUCAUUCAUCGAUUCUCUCAAAGCUAAGUGAAAUCUUUGACCUGAUCUCCAAGUUUCACAUAAUAGUAUAGUAUCUUCUCAUUUGUAUGAUCAAAGGACCAUAGAUUUAUUACCUUGAAACUUUCAGAUCUUUACAGAUGUUAGAUGCUAUCAAAGUGAAUAUAGAGGAGCAAAUGAGUUGGUGAACUAAUCUUCUUGUCAAUGACUGGGUAAACUUGGGAUUCUGUAGACAGGAUCAGCCUGCGGCAAGAAUUUUGGAGCUCUGCAUUCUUCACCUUGCAAUGGCAGAAAUAACGGCGAUAGGAACAAGGCAUCAAAUUGUCAUAAAUGAGGCGGUUGAUCUUGCAAAACGGUUCUGUGAUGGCUGUGCCCCUAGGAUUAUCAAUGGAUGCCUCCGGACUUUUGUCAAAGAUUUCAGUGCAAUGGAUGCUGUUCAGUCUUAGGAAUCAUCUAAAACCUGAAAUUUAAGGGCGUCUUUAUAGCAUAACAGAGAGGAAGCAGCGGCAAAGGAAAGUUAAAGAAAUCCAUAUUUCCUUUGUCAAAGCCUAACAGUCAGGUAAUUGGGAGGAGGGAAACUGCUGGAUUAGUUGUGGUGGUCGAAAGGACUGGACAAAUUUCCAUUGGUUACUGGGAGAACCAAGAAGGGGAGGAGAAAACAAAAUGUACUUAGCCCUAGAAUUGAAUUGCUAUAUAUGGAUUUUUUAAGCAUGAUUAGAAUAUUUAGUUUUAUUUUGAUGAGCAUUGUGCCCUCUUAUUUACAGGAUAAUUCAUGCUAAUGCACUGUAGAUUGCAAGCUUUUGUACUGGUGAUAUGAAAAUCAUGUAAUUGCAUUUUGUCGUACAAAUUAUAUUGUAAGAUGUGUUAGAAGUUACAAGGAGAACUUCCCAACCGAAUGACUUACGUAGUUUUUUAGUAAAAGGGAUGCAUUUUUUUUA